rnacentral:rRNA from 1 species
GAUGAACGCUGGCGGCGUGCCUAAUACAUGCAAGUCGAGCGAACAGAUGAGGAGCUUGCUCCUCUGACGUUAGCGGCGGACGGGUGAGUAACACGUGGAUAACCUACCUAUAAGACUGGGAUAACUUCGGGAAACCGGAGCUAAUACCGGAUAAUAUAUUGAACCGCAUGGUUCAUUAGUGAAAGACGGUUUUGCUGUCACUUAUAGAUGGAUCCCCGCCGCAUUAGCUAGUUGGUAAGGUAACGGCUUACCAAGGCAACGAUGCGUAGCCGACCUGAGAGGGUGAUCGGCCACACUGGAACUGAGACACGGUCCAGACUCCUACGGGAGGCAGCAGUAGGGAAUCUUCCGCAAUGGGCGAAAGCCUGACGGAGCAACGCCGCGUGAGUGAUGAAGGUCUUCGGAUCGUAAAACUCUGUUAUUAGGGAAGAACAAAUGUGUAAGUAACUAUGCACGUCUUGACGGUACCUAAUCAGAAAGCCACGGCUAACUACGUG